UACGUAGGGGGCAAGCGUUGUCCGGAAUCAUUGGGCGUAAAGAGCGUGUAGGCGGUCCGGUAAGUCAGCUGUGAAAGUCAAGGGCUCAACCCUUGAAAGCCGGUUGAUACUGUCGGGCUAGAGUCCGGAAGAGGCGAGUGGAAUUCCCGGUGUAGCGGUGAAAUGCGCAGAUAUCGGGAGGAACACCAAUGGCGAAGGCAGCUCGCUGGGACGGUACUGACGCUGAGACGCGAAAGCGUGGGUAGCAAACAGG
rnacentral:rRNA from 1 species